GGUGUACAGAUCUCCUAUAUAUCAAUACUGUGUACACAUCACAAUCAUCGUGCUCAGCAGCUUCCUCAUCACUGGGAUACGCAAGGAGCGGUGUGGCCUGGUCACACCAUGGGUUGUCGCCAUCAUCACCUUCAUGGCCCUGGAGGCAGUGUGCUGCAUAUAUUCCAACGUCCUUAGAGAUCACAUUAAUAAGAGAUUCGACAUGAUGUAAACAGAAUUGAUGUUUUUUGUAACAAGAUUAUUUUUAAAUAUCCUGGCACUGUGGGGUGUGAUGAAGUUCUACAGAAACAUCAGAUCGGGCGUCACCUUCAAGGACCCGGAAGCCAUAGAGCUAUAGGGCUCAUGAACCGCAUCCAUCUCGUCACGCCACUCACCUCAUAUUAGUCUCAGUGGCUUUCUUUCAGCACGCAACCUUGCAUCCUACCUUCUGAGGUUACCUGAUCAUGACAACCCCCUCCCCACAGAGUUCUAGAGAUCAACAAUGCCAUCCUACAUAAAACCUCCCGUUUUGAGGCUUAUUAUGAUACCGCGCUGAAAACGCAGCUGCUCGUUCUUUGGUGAAAUUGCCUUGUAUGUGGCUUUAAUUCCACUCACUAUGAUGCUAAUUACAGGAUCAGUAUAGAAGUUAUCCAUGAUAUCAUCUGGUCUCCUUGGGGGGAGAGGACUAGAAACAGACCAAGAGAAUACAAGCGCUAUGGUGUGUCCAGGGAACGUGUCUAUAAAUGACCUUCUACUGAAUAAAUGAUCUACUACUGAAAAUGUGUAUCAUCAGAACUCAUAACUUGAUAGAUGCCACUGCAGUUAUACCUUCUUGCUUAUUAGAAACAGUAUUGUAUAGUUAUAUAUAUAUAUAUAUAUAUAUAUAUAUAUAUAUAUAUAUAUA